rnacentral:rRNA from 1 species
AUUGAACGCUGGCGGCAGGCCUAACACAUGCAAGUCGAACGAGAGGAGGACGGGUGAGUAAUGUUUGGGAAACUGCCCGAUGGAGGGGGAUAACUACUGGAAACGGUAGCUAAUACCGCAUACUAACGGAUGUGCCCAGAUGGGAUUAGCUAGUAGGUGGGGUAAUUGCUCACCUAGGCGACUAUCCCUAGCUGGUCUGAGAGGAUGACCAGCCACGCUGGAACUUAUACACGGUCCAGACUCCUACGGGAGGCAGCAGUGGGGAAUAUUGCACAAUGGGCGCAAGCCUGAUGCAGCCAUGCCGCGUGUAUGAAGAAGGCCUUCGGGUUGUAAAGUACUUUCGGCGAGGAGGCGUUACUCGCAGAAGAAGCACCGGCUAACUCCGUGCCAGCAGCCGCGGUAAUUC